rnacentral:tRNA from 1 species
GCGCCCGUAGCUCAGCCGGAUAGAGCAGGUGCCUUCUAAGCAUCAGGUCGCAGGUUCGAAUCCUGCCGGGCGCGCCA